rnacentral:rRNA from 1 species
UACGGGGGGAGCAAGCGUUGUUCGGAUUUACUGGGCGUAAAGGGCGCGUAGGCGGCCAGCACAAGUCAGUUGUGAAAUCUCCGAGCUUAACUCGGAACGGUCAACUGAUACUGUGCGGCUAGAGUGCGGAAGGGCAACUGGAAUUCUUGGUGUAGCGGUGGAAUGCGUAGAUAUCAAGAGGAACACCUGCGGCGAAGGCGGGUUGCUGGGCCGACACUGACGCUGAGGCGCGAAAGCCAGGGGAGCAAACGGG